GCAAAACGCGAAGAACCUUACCAGGCCUUGACAUGCAGAGAACUUUCCAGAGAUGGAUUGGUGCCUUCGGGAACUCUGACACAGGUGCUGCAUGGCUGUCGUCAGCUCGUGUCGUGAGAUGUUGGGUUAAGUCCCGUAACGAGCGCAACCCUUGUCCUUAGUUACCAGCACGUUAUGGUGGGCACUCUAAGGAGACUGCCGGUGACAAACCGGAGGAAGGUGGGGAUGGACGUCAAGUCAUCAUGGCCCUUACGGCCUGGGCUACACACGUGCUACAAUGGUCGGUACAGAGGGUUGCCAAGCCGCGAGGUGGAGCUAAUCUCACAAAACCGAUCGUAGUCCGGAUCGCAGUCUGCAACUCGACUGCGUGAAGUCGGAAUCGCUAGUAAUCGCGAAUCAGAAUGUCGCGGUGAAUACGUUCCCGGGUCUUGUACACACCGAGUCUUGUACACACCGGGGGUCUUGGUACAC
rnacentral:rRNA from 1 species